rnacentral:rRNA from 1 species
GAUGAACGCUAGCGACAGGCUUAACACAUGCAAGUCGAGGGGCAGCGGGGGUGAUGGCUUGCCAUCACCUGCCGGCGACCGGCGCACGGGUGAGUAACACGUAUGCAACCUGCCCGCCACAGGGGGAUAAGCGGAAGAAAUUCCGUCUAAUACCGCGUGACGCGGCGUCGGGGCAUCCCGGUGCCGCCAAAGGGAUUACCGGUGGCGGAUGGGCAUGCGGCGCAUUAGCUAGUCGGCGGGGUAACGGCCCACCGAGGCGACGAUGCGUAGGGGUUCUGAGAGGAAGGUCCCCCACACUGGUACUGAGACACGGACCAGACUCCUACGGGAGGCAGCAGUGAGGAAUAUUGGUCAAUGGGCGCGAGCCUGAACCAGCCAAGUCGCGUGAGGGAUGACGGUCCUACGGAUUGUAAACCUCUUUUGCCGGGGAGCAAGCGUGCGUUCGUGAACGCGCGUCGGGAGUACCCGGAGAAAAAGCAUCGGCUAACUCCGUGCCAGCAGCCGCGGUAAUACGGAGGAUGCGAGCGUUAUCCGGAUUUACUGGGUUUAAAGGGAGCGUAGGUGGAUUGUUAAGUCAGUUGUGAAAGUUUGCGGCUCAACCGUAAAAUUGCAGUUGAAACUGGCAGUCUUGAGUACAGUAGAGGUGGGCGGAAUUCGUGGUGUAGCGGUGAAAUGCUUAGAUAUCACGAAGAACUCCGAUUGCGAAGGCAGCUCACUAGACUGUCACUGACACUGAUGCUCGAAAGUGUGGGUAUCAAACAGGAUUAGAUACCCUGGUAGUCCACACAGUAAACGAUGAAUACUCGCUGUUUGCGAUAUACAGUAAGCGGCCAAGCGAAAGCAUUAAGUAUUCCACCUGGGGAGUACGCCGGCAACGGUGAAACUCAAAGGAAUUGACGGGGGCCCGCACAAGCGGAGGAACAUGUGGUUUAAUUCGAUGAUACGCGAGGAACCUUACCCGGGCUUAAAUUGCAACAGAAUAUAUUGGAAACAGUAUAGCCGUAAGGCUGUUGUGAAGGUGCUGCAUGGUUGUCGUCAGCUCGUGCCGUGAGGUGUCGGCUUAAGUGCCAUAACGAGCGCAACCCUUAUCUUUAGUUACUAACAGGUCAUGCUGAGGACUCUAGAGAGACUGCCGUCGUAAGAUGUGAGGAAGGUGGGGAUGACGUCAAAUCAGCACGGCCCUUACGUCCGGGGCUACACACGUGUUACAAUGGGGGGGUACAGAAGGCGGCUACCUGGUGACAGGAUGCUAAUCCCAAAAACCUCUCUCAGUUCGGAUCGAAGUCUGCAACCCGACUUCGUGAAGCUGGAUUCGCUAGUAAUCGCGCAUCAGCCAUGGCGCGGUGAAUACGUUCCCGGGCCUUGUACACACCGCCCGUCAAGCCAUGAAAGCCGGGGGUACCUGAAGUACGUAACCGCAAGGAGCGUCCUAGGGUAAAACUGGUAAUUGGGGCU